CUAUGUUUGCUGGUGCCUUAGAAUUUUACAUUUUACUAUUACAAAAACUUCAUUAGUCCGAAUGAGAUUUGACACGAGAGCAUUAUUAAUCGUCUUUUACAUGAUUUUUACAUAUCGUUCUGUGGAAGGAGGGGACAAUAAGAAUGGAGGACAAUCUGAGAAUAUUUUGCCAAACUUGUGUCAACGCCGUGGAGGCAGAAUCGAAUGUGGAUAUCGGAGGUCUAUGUAUGAUGGUAUUCGCCGACCGCCAGUCUACGACAAAAAAUACAUGAGGCCAAACAAAAUAUAUGCAACUAGCCACCGCACUAACGUGACCAAGCUAGACCACCAGCUGGACAGUGACAGCGAAGAACAAGAAAUACUUUUAAACAGCCAGACUUCCUCUCGUGUGAUAGUGCAACAGACUGUAAAACCAAAAUCCCCCAAAUGCGUAGAGCUUUUACGAAAAAUUUUGGGGGGAUUAGAUAAACUACUUCCU